ensembl:lncRNA
AUUACACUAAAAGAGAUUAGAAAGAGUGGAGGGUAAAGUAAAAUCUGAGAUGUGUGAAGGUUUGGAAAAUUGGACCAAAUUGGAAUAGAUAGUAGAUUGUCAUUGUAGAUAAACGCGAUCACACGGGAGUGUACUUGUGUCUGGAACCAGCACACCAAACAAUGCUAUGCUAAACUAUAAGACGCAGAAGGACUUUGGAGCAGUUUGUGAAAGUAUCCAGCAGAAAGAUAUAGUUUAAAAGUGAAAGAAUCAUUACUUAGCCUAUAAUAAUACCAGCUAGGCAAUAUGCUAAAGCUUGCAGAAGAAUUUUGGUUCCAUGUUUACCACCCUAUUUGCAGUCAAAGAUUUUCACACACCACGAUUUUGACGCCUGGUCAUUUUUCUUUGUUUCUUCUCUAGAAGAAGUGAUAUUGAUUCUCCCUAUACUUUUUAUUGUUUAAUUGAACGGGGUUAUUACCUAUUAGUCUGGAAUACGAAAACUGAAAAACUUAAAUGAAUAUCCAUCAGUGAGCACUGUGUGUUUUACAUUUCAUGGCUCCUUCAGCAUAGCAAUGAAGCAUUUAUUGCUUUGGGUUUUCACGCUAAACUUAUCAAGGACACAGGAGACAGACUUAAGUUUUACCUCUUGAAUGUUGUUCAGUCUAUCGAAUGUGCAAUAUGGUGGGAUUUACAAGGCAUUUUUAUAGCAAACUUUGCAUCAGAGAAUUUCUGACUGAACUGUACAUACAGUAUUAUAAGCAUAUUUCAAACUUCUGGGAAGAUAGAAAUUUUACAUACUGUUCUAGGAACUAAUACAGACUCCAAGAGUAUGAAGAGUUUAGAGACCAACUAGAAAGCAGUCUGCAUGUGGAUUCAAGAGUUAAAUUUCUUGUUCACCUAAUUAAACAUUACUUAGCAAGGGAGGAUCAGCAGCAUGAAGUAAAAGAAGAUGGGCUCUGAGUAGGUACUGGUCCCAUCCCUAGGCUCCACAUACAAGGGAGACAGGAGAGGCUGAAGUAGUUUUGAGCCUCUGCAGCAGAGACUGCUUGUCUGCAAGGGUGUGAGUCUGAAGCCAUUACUGCUGUAUAUAAGUACCUGUUCUAUUCUCGAAGUUGCCUGUAUAGCCUUAAUUCUUUUAUUCUGUGGAUAUUUAAUAUGGGGAGCAGUCUCUAAUGCUGUAGAUCGUUACUGCUUUGCAAAUGGUGCAGUAUUUUUAUAAAACUUUACAAAACUGUAGGGUUAUAAAUUCCCUCGUGUUUUCUAUGGCAGCUGGCUUUUCUCCUCUGCACCAGUGCAGGGGUUUCUGCUCUGUAGGCUGAAACUCUGAAAUAACAUGUCAAAAAGAAAGGCUUUCAAAAAAGACAAGGAUGGGAAAAAAUAAUGGGAGGCUGCGUGAAAGCAGAGGAUUGUUAAGCUGUCUUUGACCAAAGAAAACAUAUUUCACUUUGGUGGAUCAUAAAAUAUCUGGUAUAUCAUAAAAGCAGACUACACAAGUAGAGUGGUGUGUGUUACAUUUGUACAGCAUGCUACACAUGAAGUGUAACAACAAAAAGUAGUAUGAAAAAGCAGCAAACUGAAACUGGAAAAAAAAAUGCUGAUAUUUAGGCCAACCUCAGCUUCUUUUUAAGUAGAUUUUGUGGUUAAUUGCAUCAGCCCUAGAUUGCACCUAAGGAGGGCUGCAUUGCAUGUGUUUGUGUAGCUCAUUUAUCUUCAUUGUUAACUACUUGAUCUUUUGCGUUGUAUCUAAGUAAUUUUUAAUAGGGUAAUUAUAAUGUCUGGGUAUUCCACAAUUUUUAACAUAUGUUUUCCUUAGAUGAAGAAGAUUUAUCAUUUUAAACUGCCAAAUAUAAUGAACUAAGCCAUGGGAGAAAAACAUACUACAAAAAUAUCAAGAAAAAGCAGAGAUUGAAAAGUAUUAUGUGUGUUUCCUACAUUUAAAGAUCAUAGGAAAAGCUGUAUAUUAUAUGUAUUAUUUGAAAAUAAUAUAAAUUCUCCACAGUCAGCCAAGACCAAACAUAGAGCUUUAAUAAGGACAUUAUCCAAGUUGAGUGCUUAGGUUUGUAGAAUUAAUAGUCUGUGUUCAUUUAAUGAACCGUAUGUAUUUGUAAAAUAGAUAAGCAAGCUGUAGUUCUCUUUUACAUUAUUAUAUCUCAAUUUAGGAUAUACAAUGGAGAAAAAAUGUGUUAUCUAAGAUAGAAGAAAACCACACAGAAAUAGAGAAGGAAUGAAUCUGUGGUUCAAUUCUUUUUCUGUUGCCUCAACUGAAGACUGCUUUUCUUUUUCAAGAUCUUGCCCGUCUUCUGAGUCCUCAGUGCACAGAUGGUACCUCCAUCCUCUCAGCCUCUGGUACUAGCUUCCAGCACCCAUUUGCUACAUUUUCAGAUGAAUAUGUUUGUGCUUUUUCCCACAGUGCCCUCCACAGCUCUCUAUGGAGUAGUUUUUCUAUCUUCUUCCCUUCUUUCUCCUUUGCCAUAAUGCUGCCCAAAAGCUCGGCAACAGAUAGAUCAGUAGUGUGCUAAGAGAACUGCCUACUGUGCUGACUAAUGUGUCUGUGUACUCUCACGUCAAUCUGCCUAUUUUCUCAUCUGUUUUCUCUUUUCUUAAAAGAGCAGCAAUUUGAUGCAGGGAUUCAGGCCCCAUCUGGAGUACGGCAUCCAGGCCUGGGGCCCCCAGCACAAGAAAGACGCAAAGCUCUUGAAACAGGUCCAGAGGAGGGCCACUAAGAUGAUCAGAGGGCUGGAACACCUCUCCUGUGAAGGCAGGUUGAGGGAACUGGGAUUGUUUAGCUUGGAGAAGAGAAGGCUCCGGGGAGACCUCACUGUGGCCUUCCAGAACUUGAAGGGAGCAUAUAAACAGAAGGAGGAACAGCUGUUUACGAAGACUCAAGCUGCAGGAAAAAUAGUUAUCAACUCAUCAGACGUACUGCUGCAACGGGCAGCCUUGCUCCUGGGCAUGUUUGGGAUCAGUCUCUCCAGCUACAGCACACACCAGCUGGCUCAACAGAAGAGACUUUCCGUGACCCUUUAAGCUGCGCUGGGAUGUGACCCGACAAAUAAAUGCUUGUGUCAGAAAUGCUGACAAGUAGCUUUUCUGUCUCCGUUGCUGGUGUGGAGGUAAUGAGACACGUUACAGCCUCAAUUUCUACAUGCAGAGUUAAAAAGAUGAAAGAAUACAGACUUCUUCAGGGGAAAAAAAAAAAGUAUCAUGACUGAUGGAAAUCAGAUAUCCAAGAACUUGUAAAUACAGUGGAUCUCGGUGGUCUCGUGACGUCCCUUCCAACCCCUGCAAUUCUGUGAUUCUGUUUGUUAUCCAGCAUAUACAUAAAGAGACGUCCAAAUGUAUAUGAUACAGCUUACAUUAGAGUAGAUGUAAACAGAUGGAUGAGGGUGCCAUGCUUAUUUAGCAUCACCUUGCUACAGCUUUUGCAAAUUGACUCCUAUACAAAGACUGGUUUUGAGAAGGAAAGUCAGAAACAAUAUAUUCCUCAUGAUAAGAGUCAAGCCAGAUAAAGAGAAUCUUUUGUAGGCUGUUUGUACUUUCAUAUCUAUGUGAGUUACAGGAAUUGUGCGCUCUAACCGUUAACAUUGAAACUCAAGCUUUUUUAAUGCCUCUUGUACAGAAAUGUGUGUGCGUUGUAGCACACGCUGAUUUCUUUGUGCAACAGCAGAGAUGGCUGAAGGCUCCGCCAUCAGUACACUGCUGGAAAGGAACCAUGACAGCAGUCCGGAUGACUCUGUGAUCCUGUACACAAACCCUCUAGUCUAGAAAGCACCAGUAAAAAAUUUGGGUUGAGUUUUGUUGUAGAGUUAAACGUCUGAUUGUAUUCCUCUGCAGAAAGCCCUCAUCUCAAAAUAUACGUGCUGAUUAAAAUAGACAUUAGCCGUCCUUCCUUUUCCCAUUUUCUUGUUCCUCUUACUCAAUAUAAUAGCUUAUUCAGGAAUGUUCUGUUACUGUCGGUUAGCAUUUUUCCAACUGUUUCCAAUGCUCUGUGUAAACAUGGCUUUGUAGACUCUUCCAUGCAUAUGUUACUGUUUGAAAUGCUUUGUUCUCACUUAAUAAAUGCAAAUAUAUUUUUUCGGUGUUU